UCUACAGUGCAUGUGUCUCCAGUGUUUUCCAGCGACUGGAGAUACGGCCCUGUUGGAAU
rnacentral:pre_miRNA from 1 species